CAGAAAGAUCAAAGUUACAGGUGAAUGCCCAUGAUUUAAAUGGAAAUCUGAGGGAAUGAAGCAAGGACCUGUUGGAGCACCCAUGGGAAGAACCUGGGGCACAAAAGAGGAAAGCAGCAAGAGACUGACAGAGAUUGUCUCCCUAGAAACCUGGACCACGAAAAGGGUGGAGAGGAGAAAACUCUGUGCUAAAUAUUACUCCUGGAAAAGUGCAUUUGCUUCGGAGAAAUCUUUAUCAUGGGUCUCUAAGAGGAAGGAACAAUAGCAUCUUCUAUGUGCCGAGGUAGCGCAAUAAUGAACUCUGUUCAAGUGGAUCAAAAGCCAUCAAGGUCAAAAUUAGGCACAGGCUGUACAGGAAGCGUGAUUCUGGCAUCUGUUUGGUUUCUGGGAAGGCCUCAGGAAACUUAAAGUCAUGGAAGAAGGGGAAGGGAGAGCAGGCACGUCUUACAUGACCAAAGCAGGAAGAAGAGAGAGAAGUGUGGAGGUGCUAUACACUUUUAAACAGCCAGAUCUUGUGAGAACUCUGUCAGAAGAACAGCACUAGGGAAAUGGUGCUAAACCAUUCUUGGGGACUCCAUCCCUGUGAUACAAUCACCUCCCACCAGGCCCCACCUCCAACACUGAGAAUUACAACUCAACAUGAGAUUUGGAUGGGGACACAGAUCCAAACCAUAUCAAAUUUUCACACCUUUCAGUAAAGCUUUAUAUUUUUUAAGGAUAUUUAAGUACUUGGAAGUAGAAGUAGAGAGUAAGGGGAAUAUUGUACAGCCAUCACAGCCUUUGUCUACUAAAGAAGUCAGUUUCAUGUGACAAAUGUUCAUUUUAAUAU
rnacentral:lncRNA from 1 species